rnacentral:rRNA from 1 species
GACGUGAGGGCGCGAGCGUUGUCCGGAUUUAUUGGGCGUAAAGAGCUCGUAGGCGGCUUGUUGCGUCGACUGUGAAAACCCGCGGCUUAACUGCGGGCUUGCAGUUGAUACGGGCAGGCUAGAGGUUCGGUAGGGGAGACUGGAAUCCUGGUGUAGCGGUGAAAUGCGCAGAUAUCGGGAGGAACACCAAUGGUGAAAACAGGUAGCUGGG